GCCGGGCGUGGUGGCGCAUGCCUGUAAUCCCAGCUACUUGGGAGGCUGAGGCAGGAGAAUCACUAGAACCUGGGAGGCGGAGGUGGCAGUGAGCUGAGAUCGCGCCACUGCACUCCAGCCUGGGCGACAGAGUGAGACUCGGUCUCAA
rfam:Pan troglodytes isolate Yerkes chimp pedigree #C0471 (Clint) chromosome 3, whole genome shotgun sequence.